rnacentral:lncRNA from 1 species
GAAAGAAAGGCAUAAUCGAGCCAGCACGACAGGGUGCCCAUGGGAGAGACAAUUUGGGUGAAAUGUAGAAGAUGGGGAAUUUUGGCUGAGAAGCACACACCUGAGAGGAGUGGUGUCUUGGAAGAUUCAGAAGUGGGAAGGGUGUAGUGUAGUAUGGGACUCGGAGGGCUGGCUGGACUCUAGGGUGUGUCACUGUAUGUAUGAGUUUGUGGGGUGGGGUCAGCAGGCCAAACCAGCAGGCAGGGAGGUGCUGGAUUAUGUAAAGCCUGAAUCUGGACCAUCCUGUGAGAACUGGAGGAGGCCAACUGAAGCAUGCCAGACUUCACUGGAUAGAAAAGACUUGGCCCAGAAAGCAAAAAGGAAGACAAGAGAUUACAGGAUCACAGGCUGGUACAGAAGUAGGAAGACAUGGAGCUGGUGAAGAUUACUUUCAGGGUGUGAAGAAAGAAAGAAAAGAGGCAAGAAAGAAAAGGAGAAAGAAAGGAAGAAAACCCUACCAUGACAGGUAGUACUGGUCAUAAUUCCACAAUAUACAUUAUAACUGUG